CCCUUAGACGUUCUGGGCCGCACGCGCGCUACACUGACACAGGCAACGAGCUUUCCUUUACCGAAAGGUAUGGGUAAUCUUUUGAAACUGUGUCGUGCUGGGGAUAGAUCCUUGCAAUUUUUGAUCUUAAACGAGGAAUUCCUAGUAAGCGCGAGUCAUCAACUCGCGUUGAUUACGUCCCUGCCCUUUGUACACACCGCCCGUCGCUACUACCGAUUGAAUGGCUUAGUGAGGUCUCAGGAUCCGCGCUUAAUGUGUGGAGAAUUUGGACAAACUACGUCAUUUAGAGGAAGUAAAAGUCGUAACA
rnacentral:rRNA from 1 species